UAUGAAGUGAAAAAGAUGGGUUCAUUUAUUUGUAAAUGCACACACCAGGUGGCAAAAGCAUGGGACAUUAUUAAUGUAGCUGUCAUGUGAAUUCAACAUAAACACAGGAACAGAGAGGAAAUAUACAAUUUACAAGCAUCUUACUGACCAAAUCCACAAAGCAGCCUUUCAUUCACCAGGGCUGUAUGUUUAAAUAGAAACAAGGUGGUCAAUGGUUGCACGUCAUCGUUAACCUCUCAAUAAACAAGUGAAUUAUACAGACCUGUAUAAAAAAAUUAAAAAAAAAUAAAAAAAAAAAGUGACCUGUGGUUUUGAUUUAACAUGGGAAAUGUACACUUAACUGACAAAACAAACAACUAAGUCAACUUUCACAUUUAAUGCUUGUUUUGUGGUUGCAUUUGAUAAAAACUGGGCACAUUUAGUGCAGCUACAAAUUAUAUGAACUUUAUGCAGAAAAAAUUUAUCCAGGAUCCAAAUUUAGAUUUCUGCAACAUUUGAGUGAAUUGUGAACAUUUACCAAGCAUAAAUAUCUUAGUGAUCAUGUAACUGUGUUUUGCAUCUUUAUACAUAUCUUGUAAUAUCCUCGUGUAAAGCCCACCUCGUGUGAAGACCUACUUGGGUAAAGACCAGCGAGUCUACCUGUGCGAGUCUACCGAGCAAGGACACCGACAAGGUGCCACUCACCAUAGCACUUAAGUAUCGUGUUAUUGUGUCUCUUGUCUUAUUUUUCUUCUAUAUACUAACAUGUCUACUUCACGAAUAACACAUGCCUUGAAGCACAUCCCUGUUAUCUGUUACAGACCGUUUACACGAUAUAGAUGCAAGACCAAACGCAACACACACAACCUAUGGCCACUUUGCACUUCAGCACCUGCUCCGCUCUCUUUCUCAGUGGGACUCUGGAACUGCCAGUCAGCUGUGAACAAAGCUGACUUCAUUCCAGCCUUUGCCAUGCAGUCCACCCUCAGCAUCCUGGCACUGACAGAAACAUGGAUACAUCCAGAGGAUACAGCAACACCUGCUGCUCUCUCCAACAAUUUCUCCUUCUCUCACACCCCUCAACACACCAGUAGGGGUGGGGGAACAGGUUUGCUCAUUCAUAACAACUGGACUUUUUCACCACACUCUUCACUAUGUAACAAUACUAGUUUUGAAUUCCAUGCUAUUACUACAAUGCAACCCACAAAAAUACAUGUUGUUUUCAUCUAUCACCCUCCAGGUCAGCUGACAAACUUUCUUGAGGAGUUGGAUGUCCUGCUGUCCUCCUUGCCGGAGGAUGGUAGGCCACUUGUGGUUCUUGGUGAUUUCAACAUACACCAAGACAAGCCCCAGGCCACUGAACUGAAUACUCUCCUGGCCUCAUUUGACUUGGGAAAACUACACACCACAGCAACUCGCAGAUCAGGCAACCAGCAGCAUUUUUACACUUAACUGUACCAACUCAAAUAUUCUUGUUACUCCUUUACAUGUCUCUGAUCACUACUUUGUUCAAUUCAACAUGACCCUCCCAUCUACAUUAAAACAGACUCCACCUUUGGUUUCCUUUCGCCGUAACCUCCGUUCCCUUUCACCCUCUCGCCUUUUCCACUGCUGCCUCUACCUCUCUUCCCACACUAAAUGUAUUUACCACGCUUAAUGUAAACACUGCCACAGACACACUAAGCUCUACUUUAACAACCUGUCUAGACAACAUCUGUCCUAUCUCCUCUAGGCCAGCACAUGCUACACCACCCAGCCCCUGGCUGUCUGACGUCCUUCGUGAACAUCGGACUGACCUCAGGGCAGCUGAGAGGAGAUGGCGGAAAUCUAAAGAUCCAGCAGAUCUAGGUGGACCUUUUACAGAGCAGCGACUGGGCAGAGUGGAUGUAGGUUUCUGAGAGUAAGAGGUUAGUGCUCGGACAUUGAGCCAUUAGGGGAAAUCACUUAGAGGAGAGGGAGUCAAGGACGCCUGGCUGCGAAAGGAGGCUGAUGGGAAAGGAAUCAGGCAGGAGCCAGAGCUGGCGUAUGAGCCACCAGGGACAAUUGAUCCUAAGCAGGACGAGUCUGUGACAAGAUUCUGGACUGGACAAGAGGCCCCUGUCUACAAACCACCUGUUUUCUCCAUUGCUGUCCGUCUCAUUUUCUCUCUCUUCAUCUCUAGUGUAAACACUACUUCCUCAUCUAUAAGGUCAGGGUAAGGUCACCGAGCUGACCUCUGGUACACAAUCCUGAGGUGUGGCACUUUAUACACACUUCUAUGAGACAGCCAAGGCUGGAAGAGCACUGGUGCAUAUCUGCCAGUGGAAAGACAAAGCAAGGACAGCUCACACAGAGAUAAUCUAACAGUGCACAUUUUUGACACUUUUAGGUCAACACAGGGUCCAAAAUGACCCUUUUUGCCUUCCAAUGUAGGGUGAAAUGAGAAUUUACCAGCCAUAAAUAUUUUAACUGUCAUUAAUCUGUAUUCUGCAUUAUUUUAAUUGAAAAAAGGGUUUUCCUGUGCUUUCGAUGGGAUUAAAGUUUUAUCUUGAAUAUUUGUGACAAACGGGGCAAGUAAUUGCAUCACUCGCAGCAUAAUUUAUAUAUACAGUAAAUCAUAUACAAUAGCUCAGUCAAACUGCACCCAUAUCAAAAGUGACACAUUGUGAUUUUGUAAUAUUAAAGGGUUAGUUUACCAAUUUACCAAUCCUCAUGCCAUUCCAGAUGUGUAUGAUUUUUUUCAUCUGCUGAACACAAAGAUUUUUAGAAGAACAUUUCAGCUCUCUAGGUCCAUACAAUGCGAGUGAAUAGGAGCCACAUAAGGGCAACAUAAAACAUAAAAAUCCAUAUCUUCAGAAGACAAUAUUUAAUAUCUUCAGAAGACAAUAUUUAAGACAUUUUAUCAUAAAUUCUCCUCCCUGCCCAGUAGGGGGCAAUAUGCACAAAGGAUGUGAAUCACCAAAAAUAGGAGAAAGUGAACGUGAAGUAAAAAGGACUUAAAUAUUGGUCUGUUUCUCACCCACACCAAUCAUAUUGUGUCUGAAAACAUGGUUUUAACCACUGGAGUCAUAUGGAUUAUUUUUAUACUUUGUGGAUUUUGGAGCUUCAAAAUGUUGGCACCCAUUCACUUACAUUGCAUGGACCUACAGAGCUGAGAUAUUCUUCUAAAUCUCUUCCAUUUGUGUACUGCAGAAGAAAGAAAGUCAUACACCUAUGGAAUGCCAGGAGGGUGAGUAAAUCAUGAGAGAAUUUUACAUUUUUGUGUGAACUAUCCCUUUAAUACAAGAAAGAUUCCAUUUGGUGAGAAAAACUUUAGGCAUUCUAUACAAACCUCUGAUGGUAAAUUUUCCACUAAGGUGGCACGCAAAUCAUAACGGCUUGUAUGUCUUUAAUUUGAAACGUGCAUGUCACAUACUUCAUGGUCAGAUUAGAAUUCUUCCAAUUCGAUUUAAACCAUGUAUUAUGUUGCAAUUACUGCCAACAGUAGAGUAAUUUGGUUCAAUACAAACGCUAAAGACAAUUUGCAUUAAUAUUUUAUUAAUAUUAAUAUUGUAUUAAUAACUUGACAAGUGUUUAUUUUGGACCCUGGAUCAAACAGUAUCCCCCCCACCCCCCAAACGUACAUCUCUCAAACAGAAGUGUCAGGAAUGCAGUGCCGAUGAUUAAUUGCACCUGUCACCUCUAACUCUAAGAGCUAAGCAUCCCUGCCAAUCUUUCUUUACCACUUUAAUGAUGACAAAGCUCUUUGCCCCAAACAUUGCUGAGUAAAUGUUUAUAUUGCAAGGGUGCACAAUUUGCAGAGGUUUGUCUCCUGAAAUAUACGAUUUUUCCAAUCCUCUACACCUGUAAUUUAGCUUUCAACAGUGCAAUAGUUAUUUUUGCUGCCCCAUCUCAAAUAAAGAACAGCACACUCAUCAAAAUGAGCUCCAUCUGAGACACAGGAAACAGUCAGACUCAGCUCUCUCUCUAAGGAGGGGCAGAUUGCCCAUGGGCUGCAUAGCGGACAAUCUACAAAACAAAAAGGACACAGAUCAGAGACAGUGUUCAUUCUACAAUUGUCUUAUGAACUAAUAGUCUGAAGUGAGAGCUGUGUCAUCAAUAAUUGUUCAGUAUAUAGUUUCCUAAAAUGAGAUAAUAUUUACAUCAUGACAACUAUGUUUAGUAUAUACAAACUACAAAACAGUAAUGUCAAAAAGUUCACAUUUUAACCUGGAAAGCAACUAAAUUGUCCGUCCUCUUCCUAAACAAACUUACCAGAAAUCAGUUAAAAUUUGCCUUGUGCAUGGGCAAAAGCCACCCAGUGGCAUUCUGCUGUUUAAAACUGUUAAAAUACCCUGAGCAUAUACUUCCAUCUGCUGGCGGCCAGUGGUAUUGCACCUGCUGUCUGUUCAAAUGAGCAGAUGUCAUUCCAAGUUUCUACACCAGAGGCAGCUGCUCACCCCUUUUUAAAACAGCAAUGAAUUCAAUCGCUAUGAAUGACAUAACACAUCACAGAGCUGUAUUUUUCUCUGUUUCAAGACAUUUGUGACUUCAAAAAGGUAAAAAUGAGAUCCUAAGAGAAUAUAAAGUGAGUAAUGUGCCAUUACAAUAAAACAAACUAAAUAGAAAAAAUGCUUAAACAAUGAACAAAUUGUAUCUGUCACAACAUUGCAGUGUUGUAUGGUAUAAUGGAGUUUAAACCACUGCAGGAAGAUUUCUACAGGAAUGCUUUCUAAAAUAAGAUAGGAUAUUAUUAUCCACAUCAUAAAGAAAAUGCAAUCAAACAGUGGCCCCAGAAAGUAUUCAGACAAUUAAAAUCACUCUUGAAAAGGUACAAGUAUUAAAUUAUUAAGCCAAGUGACAUUUAAAGAAAGAUAGUACAAGCAUACUAGAUUAUAAAUUAUACAACAAUAGAUGUACUGCUCAAAAUGAGUCAAAUUAUUUGGACACUCUGUAGUUAAACUACACCUGCAGUAACUUUUCUAGGACACUGGUGUGAACUGGAGGUGAAUUGAUUUCAUGCAUCCACCAAAAUGACUUUGAGACAAGUUGGUUAAAGGUAACCAAAAAAUAUCUUAGAAAAGGUGCGUAUGUUCAGAGAAAAAGUAGGUUGUUUGAGGAUUAUACUUCAUUUUCUACUGAACAAAUUGGAAGAAUAUCAAGUCCAAAUCAAGGACAUUGAUGGAAAAAAUUUAUGUGAACCUUUAGGAUAAUGAUUAAAAAAAAAAAAAAAAACUAACAAUUCAAGUCCAAAUAAUUUCAGUGUGGUUUUGACCUGCCCCAUCACAUUUCCUGCGCUUCACAACAGAAUUCUCUUCAUGACCUGAUCAGACAUUGUAGAGGAUGUCGAAGUCAUUUAAAAAAAUCAUUUUUCUUUUCUUUUUUUGCAAUAAUGAAACAUUGUGUCUUUCCUUAACAAAAGUGGGUGUACUUCAGUGAUGUAUGUGUACAAAUGUGACGAGGAACCCAAGGUUCACAGCUAAGUAAUUGUAGGGAUGUCUUGCUGAUAUGCCAGCAAAACGAGGAUGUGCUCUUUCCAAGAGUUUUUCCUUUCCAUUGUCGUCUUUGGCUUGCUGGCUGAGAGUUGUAUUGCACUAUACUUCUUUG